rnacentral:misc_RNA from 1 species
UUUGUUAACAACACAUUAUGUUGACAAUAAGACUUCAAACUGCGUUGCGGAUGGUAUAUAUCAGAUAUAAGUUCGCUACGUAUCUCUCAAAAUAGCAAUUCCGUUCUACUUUCUGCGAUAACAGUUUCUACCUUCUGCGAUAAAGUUUGUUAUCGUGAAAAUAUAAAGUACAAGACAUUGUUUUGUGAAUGUGUGUCGUUUUUAAUAUUAAAUAUCGCGUUUCGGGACAAUUAAUGCAUAUGCAUUAUUCGUGACUUACAAAAAAACAAAUACAGGCUAGCAGAGCAGAGUGUUAUACAAAUUCAGUCAGUUAUAUCUUCAAUUCUGUACGAAUUUCUCGUGAGCAACGUGACAUACAAGAAACAUUUAAAUGAUGUCUCUACAACCGUGGAUACAUAUACGUCAUAAUAUUGAUAUACCAUGGAAGACUUUCAUCAGGGAGUCUUCCAAUGCACAGGAUAAAUCCCCAGAAAAACAUAUUCAUCAGUUGGCCUUUCAAGGAAAUGAAGCUAAAACUGCCUAUGAAGAAAUUAUUCAUCAAAAUAAUAGCAAUAGCAGUGCCACAGCGACAAGAUUAAAGUAUUUUAAAUCAAAGAAACAUGAAGCUUCUACCUUGCAUAUCUUCAACACAAAGCCUAAAUUGAAACACACAAUGUAUGGAAUAUCAAAGCAAAAUAAAGGAUACAAAAUGCUUUUAAACACUGGAUGGGAUGAAGAAGCUGGUCUUGGACCUUCUGGAAAAGGAAUAAAAUAUCCAAUUAAAACAUGUUUGAAAAUGGAUCGUAAAGGACUAGGACAAUCAGCAGAGAGUGAAUACAGAGUUACUCAUUUUAAGCCAAGUGAUACAACUGCCAUUAACGGCACUAAAACAUCCAAGCAGAAACCACUGAAAAAAAGAGACAGAGAAAAACUACUUCAUAGAGAAGCUAGGAAAGAAAGAGCUUUACGUAUUGCAUUAUCUUAAAAUAGAUAUAAAUAAUUUUAUAAAUAUGAAUGUGGCGUUUAUUUAAAGAUUCAAUGGAAUGAAAAUAAUUGUUAUUGUUCUUAUAUAUUCAUGCUUAUGGCGAAUGAUCAACAAAAAUUAUUGGAACAUUUAGAACAAGUUGAACACAAAGCUGGUGAGAUUCUCACUGAUCGCGAGGAAUUAAUCGCGUUGGACAAACAAAGAAACUAUGAUCGUGUUGGAAUGAGAGCAUUAGAAAAACAGUCGUG